GCUUGAUCAGCUGAUGCUGAUAAAACUGAUGUAUAGAACUGAUAAUUAUUUAUUAAAAAAAUAAAUCAUUAUCAGUUCUAUACAUCAGUUUUAUCAGCAUCAGCUAGC